UUAUCCUAUGCUAGUGUUACUUGUAUAAAUGCCGUAAUAUGGUCGGCAAGUUUCUACCCAAGGCCGUAAAUCUUGGACUAUGAGUAAGAAUAGCUAGGUU
rnacentral:ncRNA from 2 species